rnacentral:tRNA from 1 species
GCCGGGAUGGCGGAAUGGUAGACGCAGUGGACUCAAAAUCCACCGGCCGUGAGGUCGUGAGAGUUCGAGUCUCUCUCCCGGCACCA